rnacentral:sRNA from 1 species
AUACAACCGUCGUAUCUCCCGUCCCCUUGUUCUCUAAUGGAUGAGACUAUGUUUCGAGUUUGCUUAUCGAUUCUUUGGAUGAGUUGAGAUGAUAGAAUAGAUGCUUCUCCAUGUCUAU